GACGAACGCUGGCGGCGUGCUUAACACAUGCAAGUCGAACGCUGAAGCUCAGCUUUUGUUGGGUGGAUGAGUGGCGAACGGGUGAGUAACACGUGAGUAACCUGCCUCCUUCUUUGGGAUAACGCCCGGAAACGGGUGCUAAUACUGGAUAUUCACUGGUCUUCGCAUGGGGGUUGGUGGAAAGGGUUUUUCUGGUGGGGGAUGGGCUCGCGGCCUAUCAGCUUGUUGGUGGGGUGAUGGCCUACCAAGGCUUUGACGGGUAGCCGGCCUGAGAGGGUGACCGGUCACAUUGGGACGGAGAUACGGCCCAGACGCCUACGGGAGGCAGCAGUGGGGAAUAUUGCACAAUGGGCGAAAGCGUGAUGCAGCGACGCCGCGUGAGGGAUGGAGGCCUUCGGGUUGUGAACCUCUUUCGCUCAUGGUCAAGCCGCAACAAUGGUUGUGGUGAGGGUAGUGGGUAAAGAAGCGCCGGCUAACUACGUG
rnacentral:rRNA from 1 species